GACGAACCGUGCGAACGUUAUUCGGAAUCACUGGGCUUAAAGCGCGUGUAGGCGGCCCGGCGCGUCGGAUGCUGAAAUCCCCCGGCUCAACCGGGGAAGGGGCGCCGAUACGGCCGGGCUGGAGGGGGGUAGGGGGCGCUGGAACUCACGGUGGAGCGGUGAAAUGCGCAGAUAUCAGGAGGAACACCGGUGGCGAAGGCGGGUCUCUGGGCCGAUAUUGACGCUGAGGAGCGAAAGCGUGGGGAGCGAACAGG
rnacentral:rRNA from 1 species